rnacentral:lncRNA from 1 species
AACGCUCUCCGACGUCUUCAAGAUCCUGACUAUGCUUGAUAAUAGUAUGUGAAAGAAAAAAAAAUAAAAGAAGUAAGCAUAAAGUUUAGUAAACUUACAAGUAAAUAAAUAAGACCAUUUAUCAUAAACCAUCAUACUCAUAAAUUUUCAUCAAGCACUAGGAUCAUUACUUUCUUCUUUACUUACUCAUUUACUUGUUUACUUACUUGCUUGCUUAAAUAACUCACGAUUAUAACUUACUCUUCAC